rnacentral:rRNA from 1 species
GACGAACGCUGGCGGCGUGCUUAACACAUGCAAGUCGAACGGAAAGGCCCUGCUUGCAGGGUACUCGAGUGGCGAACGGGUGAGUAACACGUGGGUGAUCUGCCCUGCACUUCGGGAUAAGCCUGGGAAACUGGGUCUAAUACCGGAUAGGAGCCAUUUUUAGUGUGAUGGUUGGAAAGUUUUUUCGGUGUAGGAUGAGCUCGCGGCCUAUCAGCUUGUUGGUGGGGUAAUGGCCUACCAAGGCGGCGACGGGUAGCCGGCCUGAGAGGGUGGACGGCCACAUUGGGACUGAGAGACGGCCCAGACGCCUACGGGAGGCAGCAGGGGGGAAUAUUGAACAAGGGGCGCAAGCCUGAUGCAGCGACGCCGCGUGGGGGAUGACGGCCUUCGGGUUGUAAACUCCUUUCGCUAGGGACGAAGCUUUUUGUGACGGUACCUAGAUAAGAAGCACCGGCUAACUACGUG